UACGAAGGGGCUAGCGUUGCUCGGAAUUACUGGGCGUAAAGCGCACGUAGGCGGCUCUUUAAGUCGGGGGUGAAAUCCUGGAGCUCAACUCCAGAACUGCCUUCGAUACUGAAGAGCUUGAGUCCGGGAGAGGUGAGUGGAACUGCGAGUGUAGAGGUGAAAUUCGUAGAUAUUCGCAAGAACACCAGUGGCGAAGGCGGCUGCCAGCUGGAC
rnacentral:rRNA from 1 species